rnacentral:ncRNA from 1 species
AUACGGCAAAACAGGAGAAAUCCUGCGACGCAAAGCUAUAGGGUCUUCCGGGAAAAGGAUGAUAGCCAGUUGCCAC